CAGAUCAAUGAUCCCGAUGCUGUAUUGUGGAUGGUAGGGUAUGCCAUACCAGGAAGCCUGUGCUUAAUGAUAAGCUUCAAACCAAAUGUAACAGUCUAGAUAUUUUUUCUGUGCAUAGUAAUGGAUGAGGAAGGCCUUUCCUGACUGUCCAUCUGACCUUAGUGCAGUGCGGAUUGGCCGUGUCCUGACGCCCAGCUUGUCCUGUCUUUUAGAGGUGAU